UACGUAGGGUGCGAGCGUUGUCCGGAUUUAUUGGGCGUAAAGAGCUCGUAGGCGGUUUGGUGAGUCGGGUGUGAAAUCUCCACGCUCAACGUGGAGGGGCCACCCGAUACUGCCAUGACUAGAGUCCGGUAGGGGAGUGUGGAAUUCCCGGUGUAGCGGUGAAAUGCGUAGAUAUCACUUGGAACGCCAACGGUGAAAACAGCUCGCUGGGGGUAUCCUGACGCUGAGACACGAAAGCCAGGGGAGCAAACGGG
rnacentral:rRNA from 1 species